rnacentral:rRNA from 1 species
GGCCAGACUCCUACGGGAGGCAGCAGUGGGGGAUAUUGCACAAUGGGGGGAACCCUGAUGCAGCGACGCCGCGUGGGCGAGGGAGCGCCUCGGCGCGUAAAGCCCUUUCGGCGGGGGAGAACGAUGACGGUACCCGACGAAGAAGCACCGGCUAACUACGUGCCAGCAGCCGCGGGAAUACGUAGGGGGCAAGCGUUAUCCGGAAUUACUGGGUGUAAAGGGUGAGUAGGCGGCAUGGUAAGCCAGAUGUGGAAGCCUUGGGCUUAACCCGAGGAUUGCAUUUGGAACUAUCAAGCUAGAGUACAGGAGAGGAAAGCGGAAUUCCUAGUGUAGCGGUGAAAUGCGUAGAUAUUAGGAAGAACACCAGUGGCGAAGGCGGCUUUCUGGACUGAAACUGACGCUGAGGCACGAAAGCGUGGGGAGCGAACAGGAUUAGAUACCCCAGUA